GACGAACGCUGGCGGCGUGCUUAACACAUGCAAGUCGAACGGAAAGGCCCUGCUUUUGUGGGGUGCUCGCGUGGCGAACGGGUGAGUAACACGUGAGUAACCUGCCCUUGACUUUGGGAUAACUUCAGGAAACUGGGGCUAAUACCGGCUAGGAGCUCCUGCUGCAUGGUGGGGGUUGGAAAGCUUCGGCGGUUGGGGAUGGACUCGCGGCUUAUCAGCUUGUUGGUGGGGUAGUGGCUUACCCAGGCUUUGACGGGUAGCCGGCCUGAGAGGGUGACCGGCCACAUUGGGACUGAGAUACGGCCCAGACUCCUACGGGAGGCAGCAGUGGGGAAUAUUGCACAAUGGGCGGAAGCCUGAUGCAGCAACGCCGCGUGCGGGAUGACGGCCUUCGGGUUGUAAACCGCUUUCGCCUGUGACGAAGCGUGAGUGACGGUAAUGGGUAAAGAAGCACCGGCUAACUACGUG
rnacentral:rRNA from 1 species